AUAGACAGUUCUAUUUAUAAAUGCAUAUAGGUAUAUUUGAAGAGAAAUAUAGAUGUUCAGAGGGAUAGGUUUCUGUUUGUGUAGCCUUAGGCUGCAUUUUAACCUCUUUCCCCCCUCGGCUGCCUUUUUCACCUCUUGUUUUUCCCCCUGCACCCCUUCUGUCCCCUCUUCCUGUGCUGGGUCCGAGCUAGGGCCGGGCCCGGUGGAGCAGCAGUUCCAGCGCCAGCUGUCCCUGGAGCGGUGGGAGCUGCCGGUGGCCCCAGGCACUGUCCCCUGAGGAGCUGCUGAAGGACGCUGCCCUGAAGACCUUGAGGCCAGCCAGACACUGCCAGGAGCCAGCAGGGAGAAGCUGAAGGCCACGAGCAAGAGCAGCGAACAGGGAGCUGCUGCUGCUGCCACCCCGAGAGCCUGGAUGUCCCAUCUGCUGUCCUUGUCCAGGAGAGCUGCUCUGCACAGUUGGAAGAGACUGAGGGAGAGG